GACCGCAAGGUUGAAACUCAAAGGAAUUGACGGGGGCCCGCACAAGCGGUGGAGCAUGUGGUUUAAUUCGAAGCAACGCGAAGAACCUUACCAGGUCUUGACAUCCUUUGACCACUCUAGAGAUAGAGCUUUCCCUUCGGGGACAAAGUGACAGGUGGUGCAUGGUUGUCGUCAGCUCGUGUCGUGAGAUGUUGGGUUAAGUCCCGCAACGAGCGCAACCCUUAUUGUUAGUUGCCAUCAUUAAGUUGGGCACUCUAGCGAGACUGCCGGUGACAAACCGGAGGAAGGUGGGGAUGACGUCAAAUCAUCAUGCCCCUUAUGACCUGGGCUACACACGUGCUACAAUGGACAGUACAAUGAGCAGCGACACGGCGACGUGAAGCGAAUCUCAUAAAGCUGUUCUCAGUUCGGAUUGUAGGCUGCAACUCGCCUACAUGAAGCCGGAAUCGCUAGUAAUCGCGGAUCAGCACGCCGCGGUGAAUACGUUCCCGGGCCUUGUACACACCGCCCGUCACACCACGAAAGUUUGUAACACCCGAAGUCGGUGAGGUAACCGCAAGGAGCCAACCGCCUAAGGUGGGAUAGAUGAUUGGGGUGAAGUCGUAACAAGGUAACCAAGGGCGAAUUCCAG
rnacentral:rRNA from 1 species